UCCGACCUUGGUCCAUUGGUACGA
rnacentral:siRNA from 1 species